rnacentral:rRNA from 1 species
UACGUAGGGUGCGAGCGUUGUCCGGAAUUAUUGGGCGUAAAGAGCUCGUAGGCGGUUUGUUGCGUCUAUCGUGAAAACCUGCAGCUUAACUGUGGGCUUGCGGUGGAUACGGGCAGACUUGAGUUCGGUAGGGGAGACUGGAAUUCAUGGUGUAGCAGUGAAAUGCGUAGAGAUCAUGAGGAAGACCAGUGGACGAAGGCGGGUCUCUGGACAGUUCCUGACACUGAGGCACGAAGGCCAGGGGAGCAAACGGG